rnacentral:rRNA from 1 species
ACGAACGCUGGCGGCGUGCUUCACACAUGCAAGUCGAACGGAAAGGCCCUGCUUUUGUGGGGUGCUCGAGUGGCGAACGGGUGAGUAACACGUGAGUAACCUGCCCUUGACUUUGGGAUAACUUCAGGAAACUGGGGCUAAUACCGGAUAGGAGCUCCUGCUGCAUGGUGGGGGUUGGAAAGUUUCGGCGGUUGGGGAUGGGCUCGCGGCUUAUCAGCUUGUUGGUGGGGUAGUGGCUUACCAAGGCUUUGACGGGUAGCCGGCCUGAGAGGGUGACCGGCCACAUGGGAGAGGAGUACGGGCCGAAGCACUUAGGGGGGGGAGGAGGGGGGAAUUUGCCAAAAGGGGCGAAGGCCUGAGGAGGAAACCCCGCGUGCGGGUUGUCGGCUUUCGGGUGGAAAACCGCUUUCCCGUUUCGGGAAGCGGGAGGAACGUAAUUGGGGAAAAAAGAACGGCUAAAUCCGGG